rnacentral:rRNA from 1 species
AGAUUGAACGCUGGCAGCAUGCCUGACACAUGCAAGUCGAACGGGAGUAGCAAUACUCUAGUGGCGGACGGGUGAGGAAUACGUAGGAAUUUGCCCUUAAGUGGGGGAUAACCCGGGGAACCCGGAUUAAUACCGCAUGACCUCGAAAGAGCAAAGGUGGGGGAUCGCAAGACCUCACGCUUUUGGAGAAGCCUACGUCGGAUUAGCUAGUUGGUGAGGUAAUGGCUCGACCAAGGCGACGAUCCGUAACUGGUCUGAGAGGAUGAUCAGUCACACCGGAACUGAGACACGGUCCGGACUCCGU